ACACUUCUUCUUUCUAAACCCGUAACCACGAACCACUUCUUCCUCUCUCUCAUUACCAAACUUAUCGGUAAUCUUCAGAUCUAUUAUUUAUGGUUUUCGAACAAGCUUCAUCGAACGGAGAGACUGAACGGUCGGUCAUGCCGUCGCUGCCGCCGCGCUGCCGAGUCGAACCCUAAUUGUUGUUAAUGGAUUCACUUUGUAAAUUUAUUAAAUGGGCUUUUAAGUUUCUUUGUUAAUAUCAUUUUCAAAGAUAUAAUGGAUU
rnacentral:lncRNA from 1 species